UACAGAGGGGGCCAGCGUUAUUCGGAAUUAUUGGGCGUAAAGGGCGCGUAGGCGGCUUUGCGUGUCUUUCGUGAAAUCCCUCGGCUCAACUGAGGACGUGCGGAAGAAACUGCAGGGCUGGAGUCCGGGAGAGGAGGUUGGAAUUCCCAGUGUAGCGGUGAAAUGCGUAGAUAUUGGGAGGAACACCGGUGGCGAAGGCGGCCCUCUGGACCAUAACUGACACUCAGGGACGAAAGCUAGGGGAGCGAAUGGG
rnacentral:rRNA from 1 species